rnacentral:rRNA from 1 species
UACGUAGGGUGCAAGCGUUAAUCGGAAUUACUGGGCGUAAAGCGUGCGCAGGCGUUUUGUAAGUCUGUCGUGAAAUCCCCGGGCUCAACCUGGGAAUUGCGAUGGAGACUGCAAGGCUAGAAUCUGGCAGAGGGGGGUAGAAUUCCACGUGUAGCAGUGAAAUGCGGUAGAGAUGUGGAGGAACACCGAUGGCGAAGGCAGCCCCUGGGUCAAGAUUGACGCUCAUGCACGAAAGGCGUGG